AUGCAGAAACCGCCCUAUUUUAGUGCUGCUGUUGGAGAUGCUCUAAGACAACCAGGUGCACAACCUCAAGCCCAACGGCAUUCUGCACAUCGUGUGCUUCAUUAUGCUAUGCGAGUGUUUCUUGGGGUCUCUGCCCCAUUUCGGCCUUUGGAUGAAGCUCUUUAUGGUGAAGGUGCACAAGAGCCGCAACCACCUGUCCAUCAGAGGUGGAGCUGGCAUCCAGCUGAAGCCCAAGGACAAGUACUCAAGUUGGCGCAGCCAGACACUGUCAAGAAGUGGCAGCCAAAUUGGUUCUAUUGCACCGACAUCCGGACGUACACCGGGCAUCAAGGACUCCUUCCAUACACCACCGGAGCGCCGAACCGGUUGAUGUUCUGGGGAGCGAAGCUGACCGCCACUAGGUUGCAUGACAUCCGGCUUCUCCACAAUGAGGUGUUGUGGCUCAUUGGGCGAGGCUCGCCCUGCUAG
rnacentral:rRNA from 1 species